AUGCAGGAAGGAAUACUUAGAUACAAAGGGCGAGUGUGGAUUGGUAAUGACACAGAAACUCAGCAACACCUCGUCCAGACACUGCACGCAAGCGCAGCGGGAGGCCACUCCGGCUUCCACGCCACUUACAACAGGAUCAAGAGGCUUUUUGCGUGGCAUGGAAUGAAACAGCAAGUAAAGGACUUCGUUCGCAACUGCAUGAUCUGCCAACAGGCAAAAACAGAAAGGAUUUCACCGGCCGGGCUACUUCAACCCCUGCCGAUCCCGAAGAAACCUUGGGCGGUCGUGUCACUGGACUUCAUCGAGGGACUGCCCAGAUCAGGAGGCUUCGAUACAGUUUUGGUGAUUGUGGAUAAAUUCUCCAAGUAUGCCCAUUUCAUUCCCUUGGCGCAUCCAUUCACGGCCCUUCAAGUGGCGAAGCUGUUUAUGAAAGAGAUCUUCCGCUUGCAUGGCUUGCCGCUAGCUCUCAUCUCUGACCGCGACAAGGUGUUCACAAGUAAGGUAUGGCAGGAACUGUUCAAACUCUGCCUUACAGAGAUCCGACUCAGUUCGGCAUACCACCCACAGACGGACGGCCAGACGGAGCGCGUGAACCAAUGUCUCGAGGCUUAUCUUAGGUGUGCGGUACAUUCAUGCCCUGCAAAUUGGUCAAAGUGGCUACCACUUGCCGAGUACUGGUACAAUACGUCCUUUCAUUCAGCAUUGGGGAGGACCCCGUUUGAAGUGGUGUAUGGCCAUCUGCCAAGAGAGUUUGGAGUUACUCAGGUUGAUGAGUGCACAGUACCGGACCUGGCUGCAUGGCUGCAGGAGCGAGAGGUCAUGAUCGAUCUGCUGCAGCAACAACUGAAGCAAGCUCAAGACAGGAUGAAGCGACAUGCAGACAAGCAUCGCACAGAUCGCGAGUUCGCCGUGGGCGACGCGGUCCUGCUCAAGCUCCAACCCUUCAUUCAGUCGUCAGUCGCGCAACGGCCACAUCAGAAGCUUGCCUUUCGCUACUUCGGUCCCUACAGAGUGGUGGCGCGGAUUGGGGCAGUGGCCUACAAGUUGGAUCUCCCACCUACAAGCAAGAUUCACCCAGUCGUCCAUGUGUCGCAGCUCAAGAAAGCUCAAGGGGCUGUGGUGCCAGUGAGUCCUACUUUACCUCCUGAUGACUCUGUUUUGCAGGCAGAACAUAUACCUGAAACGGUGCUGGAGAGCAAAAUGGUUCGUGUGGGCGGCGAGCCGGCCCUACGCCUACGCAUCAAGUGGAGCGGCCUGCCGUCGUGCAUGGCCACCUGGGAAGAGCCACAACAGCUGCAACGGCGCUUCCCUAACUCUCCGCCUUGGGGACAAGGCGAAACGCAAGACGGGGGAGAUGUCACGGCUGGCCAGAGGGCCCCGUCCACCAGUGAAGGCGAGGCAGACCGUGGACGAGAAGGCGAAGCCUUGGCGGUCAAGGAAGGCGCGUAA
rnacentral:rRNA from 1 species